UGGGGAAUAUUGGACAAUGGGGGCAACCCUGAUCCAGCAAUGCCGCGUGUGUGAAGAAGGCCUUCGGGUUGUAAAGCACUUUAGGCUGGGAGGAAGGUAUGUAGUUUAAGAGAUGACAUAUUUGACUGUACCGGCAGAAUAAGCACCGGCUAACUACGUGCCAGCAGCCGCGGUAAUACGUAGGGUGCAAGCGUUGCCCGGAUUUAUUGGGCGUAAAGGGCGCGCAGGCGGUACGGCACGUCCGUUGUGAAAUCGCUCGGCUCAACUGGGCGGGGUCAGCGGAUACGGCCGCACUUGAGCAAGCUAGGGGGCAAUGGAAUUCCCGGUGUAGUGGUGGAAUGCGUAGAUAUCGGGAGGAACACCAGUGGCGAAGGCGGUUGCCUGGAGCUUUGCUGACGCUGAGGCGCGAAAGCGUGGGGAGCGAUC
rnacentral:rRNA from 1 species